rnacentral:tRNA from 1 species
GGUUUCAUGGUUUAAUGGUUAGUAUUCUGGACUUUGAAUCCAGUGAACCGAGUACAAACUUGGUGGGAUUU